GAUCCUGGCUCAGGAUGAACGCUGACAGAAUGCUUAACACAUGCAAGUCUAUUUGAUCCUUAGGGUGAUGGUGGCGGACGGGUGAGUAACGCGUAAAGAACUUGCCCUGCAGUCUGGGACAACAUUUGGAAACGAAUGCUAAUACCGGAUAUUAUGUGAGUUUCGCAUAGUAAAUUCAUAUAGAAAGCUAUAUGCGCUGCGAGGAGAGUCUUUGCGUCCUAUUAG
rnacentral:rRNA from 1 species